rnacentral:rRNA from 1 species
CCUACGGGAGGCAGCAGUAGGGAAUCUUCGACAAUGGACGAAAGUCUGACCGAGCAACGCCGCGUGAGUGAAGAAGGUUUUCGGAUCGUAAAACUCUGUUGUUAGAGAAGAACAAGUAGGAGAGUAACAGCUCUUACCUUGACGGUAUCUAACCAGAAAGCCGCGGCUAACUACGUGCCAGCAGCCGCGGUAAUACGUAGGUGGCAAGCGUUGUCCGGAUUUAUUGGGCGUAGAGCGAGCGCAGGCGGUCUUUUAAGUCUGAUGUGAAAGCCCUCGGCUCAACCGAGGAAGGUCAUUGGAAACUGGAGGACUUGAGUGCAGAAGAGGAGAGUGGAAUUCCAUGUGUAGCGGUGAAAUGCGCAGAUAUAUGGAGGAACACCAGUGGCGAAGGCGACUCCCUGGUCUGUAACUGACGCUGAGGCUCGAAAGCGUGGGGAGCAAACAGGAUUAGAUACCCCUGUAGUC